GGAAGUGAGGGCGAUCUGGCUGUGACAUGUCACCCCAUUAAUCGCCAGGGUUGAUUCGGCUGAUCUGGCUGGCUAGGUGGGUGUCCCCCUCCUCCCUCACCGAUCCAUGUGCGUUUCUCCCGAAGCUGCAAGCUCAGUGGGAGAGGACGACCUUCCCCCCCACCCCAACCCCCCCUAGGAGAGGACUGGUCUUUGGUCAAGGGUAUACGAGUAGCUGCGCUCCCCUGCUAGAACCUCCAAAACAAGCUCUCAAGAAAGCAAAAAGUCCUGGCGGGUGUGGUUGGAGCUUCAUCCAGUACACCAAAGGGCAGCGGGUUCUAUUCGUCAGGGCACAUACCCAGGUUGCAUGUU
rnacentral:snRNA from 1 species